GGGGUAGUGCCAGCUGUCCAGGGGGCUCCAAGGAAGACGACCCCACUUUCUGAGCUGCAGCCAUUUGACCAGGCCGGCUUCUAGACUGUGGAACAGGAGUGGGUUGGUACAGUCCACUUUCGGGGUGACUAUCUUUUCAGUCAAUGCUUGGAAUGACUUUUUCCUGCAAGGCAGCCCUUCGACAGCUCCAGGACCACAUCCCAAACCUAGGACAUGCCCUCGCAGCGCAGCAGCAGUCCUCCGUCCUGCUCCAGGGCCUGUGUGCCUUGGAAGGAAAGAGAAGCGAACACCUCUUGGAGCACCGGCUGUUCUGGGGUCCACGUGAUGCCAGAGGCAGAGCCUUCUGCGCUUCUCCCCCGAAGGAUGCCUGGGCCCCCUAGGACCACAGCCUCCCCGGUGGGAGCAUCUUCUCUGUAGGACACGUGCUCUGUAAACACUCUGGUCACACUGGGUCCUUGCUCUUUCAGAAACAAAUCCCCAGAGGGAGAGGCUUACAUCUUAGCCUAAUUGGACAGUUGGCUGUAUCCAGAGAGAAGUGUUUGCAGAGCACAUUGAGAGCUAGCCCGGGGACCCACAUGUUUGCUCAGCAUCCACAUGGCAAACAGCAAGAGCCUUCCUUGAAUGCAGGGGUCAGAAAGGGAUUUGCCUCAAAUCUGAGCUGGCCUCUGGGGUGAUGGCUCAUUCAAAAGGCCGUAGUACAGGGAAGAGUGUUCUGGAAGAUUGGUGCCAAGCUUUCCUCCCGUCUGAGAUGGACACAAAGGAUCUUUUCUCAUUUUUCUCUCUUGCAGCAGAGUCGCCCCUGGAUUACCGAGGGGGUCCUGGGCCUAUUUCAAGGUCCAAGUGUCUGGAAUCAGAGCCCAAAGGCCAGCUGUGGGGAGCAGGGGGUGGGAGAAGGCGGGAGGCCCACUAGCUGUGCAGAAAACGAAGACCUAGGGCUUUUAUGCACAUGAUUAGUGAUGAGGAGCUAGUUGCCUGGCAACAGCAGCCCCUUCCCCCUCUAUCUGUACCCCUCGGGCUGCAUGUAAUGUUUGGUGACAUUUUUCUUUUCAUAGCAGAGACAGGGAGUCGCCCCCUUAAUUAGCUGAAGAUGUCCUCCCCCCCAACUGGCUUAUUGAUCAGACUCCUGUUUAGAAAUCAUCCCCCCCAAGCACUUAAUUAUUAAUUGCACAUUAAUAAUUGGUGUGCCAAGAUAACUCUACAGAUAGCUGUUCGUGUAAGUGAAGAGCUGAGACCGAGACCUGACACACAGAAGUGCUUGUAAAAAAUUAGCUGCUCGAAUAAUUAACAUUGUCUCUUUCUUCAAGGAGGUUCUAGUAGUAAAAGACCUACCCUGGGCAGAUUGUACUGAUUUCAGAGAGCUUUGCUGUUUUCUCGCAGACUCUCAGAAUGCUAGUGUCCUCAGAGAAUCUUCCACCACCACCACCACCCCCCGCCCCCGGCCUAGCCACCGCCUUUUACAGUUGGGGAAACCGAGGCCCAGUGAGGUGAAGUGACUUUGCCAAAGUCACACAACUGAUGAUGCCACAGAGACUGCAUCCAGGCCUCCUCGUCCUCAGGCCCGUUCGGCUACUCCUCCGGCCUGGGAAGCUCGUGGAACCUUGCCAGGAGCCCAUCACGGGAGCAAGUGUGUGGGUACACACUUCCCUGGCCUGCACUGGCAGGACCCCGAAUCUGCAGCAGGUCCCUGGACCUCGGGGUGCGGGUGGCACUGCAGACGCACUCAGCCUUCCCCAGUAAGUGAUGCGACCACCAGAGCAAGGUCAUUGUUUCCAUUUACAGGAUGGGAAGCUCAAGUCUGAGAAGUGUGAAUUCCUAGUCCAAGAGUGGGACUCGAAAGCCACAUCCCUCUUCCCACCACCACCUGCUUCUCCUGCGCCAUAGAUGUCAUCCCCUCCUCUUACACUUCAGGAAACCAAGCCUCAGAAGGGGCUGAGCGGCCUCCUCAGGGCUCUGCUUCCUGGUUACAGUGGGGGGGUGAGGUCCAGCAGAGAUCACCCACCGCCUUCGCUUUCCCCCAUGGAGGUUUAUCCUAACCAAUCUGCUGAGAAACACUUUUUAACGCAUAAUAAAAUGGAUGUGCUAAAUUAAUUUCAAAUACACGGACAGAAACAACAUCUGAGCCUUUGGGUUGAUUAUCUACCCAGAAGAGGCUGAUGAGGGUUAGUGGCUGGAAAAGACGGGGUGUGGGGACGACAAGCCUUCUCUGUUCAUGUCCUCUGAGAAAAAAAUAACAAAGGAGACUCUUGAUCGCUGGUGCCCGCGUGUGUGAGUGAGCACCAGGGGGCAGAGUGAGUCCAGGAAUGGGGAGCCAAAGCCAUUUUCCUUUGGUAUUAAGGGUGGCUUUAAGAGAGCAAGCUUGUAGCGUAAAGGGUCAUUGCUUUUAGUACAGCCUUAGUCAAUAGGUUUCUAAUUGGGCUAUUAAUCUGGAAAUAAGUAAAAUAAGAAACCCAGAGGGUGGGUUGAGAGUGGAUGCAACGUGAAUAAUGAACAUCCCAUGGAUGAUUUUUUUAAAGGGUCGAUAGUCUCAUAACCUUUGUUCUUCUUUUAAUGUGAAUUGACUCCUGACCACCACUUGGCAAUUUCUCAUAAAGCAGUAGGUCUAGGUAUUAAGAAUCAUGGAAUAAUAUUUUAAGAGUUUUCUAGUGCAUGGUCUCUGCAAGUGGAAAACAUAAACAAUGAUUGUAUUUUGGCAAAUUAAUGCAAUUGUGCAAACGUAUCAGUGCGCAGCCACUCCUCCUCGCACAAGCUCCCACCCUGUCUCACUGCCUGCUUGGGGCCAUCCCCCAACCCCGCAGAGGUGGAAGGGCAACAGCCACACACCGUGUCCCCUGUGCGGGAGUUAAUCCCGGGAAUGUAUGACUCAACCAUCUGCAAGGCAGUGACAUUGGGACAUAUGUGAAUUUAGCAGUGGCCUGAGACGUUUUCUUAUUUAGAAUUACAAUAACUACCAUAUGACUAUGGUUGAUAAUACCUUAUUGCAUAUUUGAAAGUUGCUUAAUAGAGUAUAUCAUUUUUUAAAGAUUUUUAUUUAUUGAUUUGAAAGAGAGAGUGAGUGGGGGUGGGGGCAGAGGGCGAAGUAGAAGCAGAGUCGCCACUGGGCAGGGAGCCUGACACGGGGCUCGAUCCCGGGACCGUGGGAGCACGACCCGAGCCAAAGGCAGACACUCAACCGACUGACCCUCCCAGGAACCUCAAGAGUAAAUUGGGAGGAUUAAAUUGUAACUGUGUAUGGUGACAGAUGUUACUGUGAUGACCGUUUGGCAGUAUAUACAAAUAUCUAAUCAUUAAGUUGUACACCUGAAACGAAUGCCAUGUUAUGUGUCAAUUAUGCCACAAUAAAAACAGAACAAAAUCAAAAGCCAAAAUGAAACAGCUACCACAAGUGAGAACUCAUUAGGUGCCAGGCCCUGGGCUUUGCAUUCACGAUCUCAUUUAAGCAAUAUAAACCUAUAAGAUAGAUACUGUUACUGUUCUUCUGAUUUUAGAGUUGAGGAAAUGGAAACUAAGCUAACUAAAUUGGCCAAUAUUGCCCAGCUAGGCAGGAGUUCAUCCCAGACUCAGGCUGAGAUCUGACAGCAAAGCCCUGGUUCUCCGUUCUUGUCUUUCUGGAAGCCUGACCAAUCCUAUCCUGAUGGAAAAAGCCUGGGUCCUAUACUCUGACACUAAAUACUUUUUUUUAACUUAAAAUUAUUUAUUUACUUAUUUUAGAAACAGAGAGAGGGGGAGAGGGAAGGAGAGCGUGGGGGGGGGGCGGACAGAGGGAGGGGGCAAACCCACUCCACACGCUGAGACGGGGUGUUGGGGGGGGCUCAAUCUCAGGACCCUGAGAUCAUGACCUGAGUAGAAACAAAGAGUCAGUUAAUCAACUGAGUCACUGAGGCAAAGUGCCCCCCGCCCACUCUCCUUUAAAGAUUAUUUAUUUGAGAGAGAGGGAGAGAGCGAGCAAGAGCAGUGAUACUACAUUCUCAUCUGAGCGUGCUGCUGAUUUGAGGGGUGGUCUUAGGAAAGUGACUCCAUCUCUGUCAAAUCUUAUGAUCUUGUAGUAAGUUACUUAAUGAUGCAAGUCACCAAAAUAAAUGUAAUGCUACCUCUAUGUCAGAGACUUUUAGGGCAUCAAGGGCCCAGACUGAUGUAUAGUCCAGGGCUACCCCAGCUCUGGGAUCUGCAGGACCCUGGCACAGGGUCAGAGGGAAGUUGUUAUAGGACGAAAAUGUAGCAGGAUGGUGUGCAGCGAGUGGGAUCAUCCUCUCAAGCUCCCGGCUUAAGAAUAAGAUGGAUCUCUGCCCACAAGCCCUGGAGUUUGGGGGCUGCAGACAUGUAGGAAGGUGGGUGGCCACACGUUGGGCAGAGGGCUGUGCAUUGGAGCAAUGCUGCACAGCGCUGCCAGCGGGGGGCAAGCAACAAGAGGAAGCCAUGUGGCUCAAAGGGACCAGCCAAAGCUGCCAGGCACUGAGGGCCAGGGGAGGCUGGAGGGCCACUUGGUCAGCCAUGAGGACCAACGGUCCCACCACAGAUCAUGAAAAGGCAUAUUCAUCUUUGCUCCUUUUCUUCUUCUUCCCUAGAAGCGGGGGGCGGGGGGGGAAUAGGGGGGAGAGGAGUGGGGGAGGGUAGGCCCUGUCUUCACGCCUCUCCUCCCCCCCCAGCCCAAAGCUGUGGCCUCACCUGCAUUCGAGGCAAGGGGGAGAGCUUUGAAUCAAAUAUAAGACUGAAAUUUUAAAUUGAACAGAGCUGAAUCUCAAUAAUCAGGGAGAAACCAUUAUGAUCAGUAAAAUGAUGAAAAGUUACAGAAUCGGGCUGGGAUAUAUGUGUGGAGAUAUAUAUAUAUAGCAAAUGGAGCUUGCUACCCAGUGGGAAAGAGAGGUUUCACAGAGCAUAAUUGAUAGAUUUUGGGGGGAAAAUCUAUUUCAUGUUUAUCCCCCCAGAGAAUUGACAAUCUUCACUAAACCUGUUACUCAGAGGAAAAUCAAUAAAUAUUAUAUAUUCGGCCACAGGUGAAAGCCUGCAGGCUGCCGUUUCACAUCGUGCAGUUAGAUGCUGUGCGUGCACUGGUCACACGGCUCUCCGGGACUCCAGUCUUGCAGGGGCAUCCCGGGUGCCCCAUCAUGGUGGGAAAAGCCAAGCAUUUCUCUUAUCAGGACUGUAAUUAUAGCUCUUUCUUCUGUUCCCACAACAACCGCUAGGUCAGGAUGCUCACCUUUUUUUUUUUUUAAUUUUUUUAAUUUAUUUAUGAUAGUCACACACACACAGAGAGAGAGAGAGAGAGAGGCAGAGACACAGGCAGAGGGAGAAGCAGGCUCCAUGCACCGGGAGCCCGACGUGGGAUUCGAUCCCGGGUCUCCAGGAUCGCGCCCUGGGCCAAAGGCAGGUGCCAAACCGCUGCGCCACCCAGGGAUCCCAGGAUGCUCACCUUUUUAAGUUGCCCUCCCUCUGCUCAAAGGCUUCUGCCCUCUAAGAGGUCCAGAUUGAUCCCCGCCACCAUCCACCCACCCAGCCCCGUGACUACCUCCUGAACUUUCAGAGCUCAUCUUGAUCCUGGGCUUCAGAAAGGCUAUGCAGUACGAACCUAGUCUGCAGACAUAAUGGUGAUAAUCUCACCAAACCCUGAGUUCCUUGCACCCAUUGCCUAUGUAGAUUUGGACAGUGCAAGAGCCCACAGACAGACACAUCAGUGGAUCAGAGGCAAGAACCCAGAACCAGACCCAAGGACUGUAUCACCAUCCACUCUGUGAUAAAAGGUGAUUUGCCAGUGCAUGGGAAAAGGAAAGAAUAUUCCAUUAAUAGUGCUUGGAUAAUUGGUUAACUAAAUGUGGGGAAACAACCAUUUAAAUUCUUACUUCAGGGGCUCCUGGGUGGCUCAGUCGGUUGGGCAUCUGCCUUCAGCUCAGGUCAUGAUCUUGGGGUCCUGGGAUGGAGCCCUGCUUUAGGCUGCCUUUUCAGCUGGGAGCCUGCUUCUCCCUCUCCCUCUGCCCAUCCCCCAACCCCUCCCCCUUGCUCUCUCGUGCUCUCUCUCAAAUAAAUAAAUAAAUAAAGUAAAAAAAAUUUACUUACUUCACAUUCAUCCAUUCCAGUGGAUUAAAGACUUAAUAAUAAAUGCAAGAGCAGAAAUGUAGACGCAAACCUAAGCGAAUAUUUAUCAGACCCUGGAACUGGAGAAUAACUUUAACAGCAUGACAAACAAUAAAGAAAUCACAUGGGAAAAAAUGAUAGCUUUGAAUAUAUAAAAAAUUUAAAUACAUACCAAAAAACAAUAUAAAUACAGUCCACAGGUAUGGUAGUAGUAACAUUACCCAGUAAUCCCUGUUGUGCCAGCUGGCAGUGAGCCAACAGCCAAUAUGUGAGUAAGACCAUCCCUAGGUCAUCUGUGCCCUAACCAUGCCACCAGCUGAAUAGGAGAUACCCAGGAUGAGAUCGGCCAUGCCUGGCCCAGGUCAUCAAAUAUAUCCUGCUGACACAGAUUCAUAGGCAAUAAUGCAUGUUUCUUUGGUUUAGAACACUAAGUUUUAAGAUAAUUUGUUAUGCAGAAUUAGAUAAAUGAUAUAAAAAGGAAAUGAUGAAUUGGAACAAAUAUGUGUAACAAAUAUGAAAGAUAAAGAUUAAAAUCUUUAAUAUGUAAUGAGCUCUUAUAAAUCAACAAGAGAAACAAGAUCUGCCUUAGAGAAAUAGAUAGAGGACACAAGCAGACAAGUCAUUAAGAAAGAGAAAUGGCU
rnacentral:lncRNA from 1 species